UAGAAGCGGUGCUGGCCGUGUACGGCGACGAUUGUGCAAUUCUCGAUUCUUUCCCUCCUCAUCUUCACCUCCACAGCAAACCCAGAACCGUUGAUAUCUCCUCUCAACAGCGGUUGGAUGCUCCAUGUGUGCUGUAGAUUGUUUGUGAAAUCUUGAAUACCUUUGUAUCGAUACUAAAUUUUGUCCAUAUUCCAUGGUAGUAUCCAAGCGAACCUCUGCAUAUUGAUCUCAUAGAAUCCAAGGGUCUUGAUGGAGAAAGGCAAAAGCAAUUUAUAACUAGUGGACAACACAAAGCAUGUGAACUUUCCUCUUGUUUGAUGCUUGUAGCACUUUGCGAGGUAAUUGCUGCAUUUUUCACAUAACAAGAAUUUUUUCUGCAUUGAUAUUGUUAUUCUAUAUUGUGUUAACGAAUUGAGAAAACCAUAUUAGUUGCCUCGUAUUUCAUAAACAGUAGAAAAUCCUCAUCUUAAUUUGAUCUUUUUUCCAUUUGUCAUAUAUUUGUAGGUAGUCUUUAAGUAAUUGGCUGUUCUGCAAAGUAAAUGCAUGCGCUGUAAUAUUGGGUUUGUGCCAAUUAGCAUUAAGAUUAUGCUCUGAUGCGUCUUAUUCUUUCUGUUUAACAUUUCAGUUGAGGAUUUGAUAUCACAAUGCCUGUUAUUUUCAAGAUAUGAGCAUAAGUUUGAAUUGCCUGCAGUGCUAAAAUAGGUUGUUGGUGUAGAAUCAUCAAGGUAAUAAAAGAUCCUGGAUUGUAAUUUAAUAAUAGUUUUUGGCAGAAUCUAUAUGCACAGUAACCAGGGUGAAAACACAUUCAUGGCAUGCUAUUUUACCAAGUAUUGUGUUUUACCUGGACGCUGCACCAAAAAUAACAGUGAAUGUCUAUUUACUAGAUUUCCAGCACCUUGACAGGAAUGCCUCCAAAUUGCCCAAUCUAAAAUACACAUAGCUUCAGCAGUGAAUUUGUGUAUAUUUGCAGUUUUUCUUUGACUGAUGUAUAGAAGUUGCAAAGAUUCGUUGAUUCUACAUUUUUAGGAAGUGUUGGAGAAGCUCUCUGUUAUGAAUCACCGAGAUGGUGAUUGUCCUCUGUGUUUGUACCCUUUAGUCCCAGAUGAUGAACAACAUGAAGCCUUGGCAUUUAUGAAGUUGAUGUCUUGAUUCCGUUUCUUUCACAGGUAGAGUUCUGAUUUCUUUCUUCUAGAUGAUACUUUACUAGGUUUUAAUUUUGAUUUUGGUCUUUAAAUAUUUUCCCUGUCAUCCUUGUCUUUUUUUCUUCAAACUGUGGCAGUGAAUGCAUUGUCAGAGACAUGAGACAUGGGAAAUCACAAUGGUAUGUCUUAUAAUUGGGCUAAUAGAACAUGUGCUGCCUGGUUAUUAACAUUGUUUUAAUCAAGAAGACAUUGGUUAUUUAACUAUCAUGCUAUUAAUUUUUCUUAAAAUAAGCUGGGGUUAUGAGAUGUGCAUGGAGUAUUGGAAGGAAAAGGGGGUAACUGUCCAGUUGACAGAAAGGUUUUCCAUGCCAAGGGUUAUGAACAUGUGCUUGACUUGAUUCGAACUCAAGCUUCUCAAUCGGUAUGCCAUCAAAAUGAUUGGUAUGCAUCUGAAGUGUAUUUACCAACAGUUUGAACUGGUAAUAGCUGCUUCCAUGAUAAAAACUUCUAAUGAACCCUGUCCGUUUGUUUGGUGGAUUCUUGUUCAUUCAAAUGCAGCAUAUUAAUUACCGAUCUGCGUUGAUCACAGAAUUCUGGAGCAGAGGUCAAAGAUGAGGAGAUGAUCCUUCAUUCUGAUUUAGAGAACUUCAAAAGUUUUACUUUUUUAAAAUUAUUUUAUUUUUAAAAAAUAUACUUUGAAAUUUUUUACAUAUCUUCCACGACCUGCCACGCCGCCACAUCACAACCUGCCACGUCACCUGCUCAAACAUAAACUAAAAAUAUAUUUGAAAAUACGGUGCAAAUUAUAUUUUUAAAAAAUUUAUUUAUUUAUAUUUUGUUAAAAUUUAAUAUGGUUUGUAUGUUUUAGAUUAUUUUAAUAUGCUGAUAUUAAAAAUAAUUUUUAAAAAUUAAAAAAAAUUAUUGGUAUCAUUUCACUAUAAAAAAUUAUUUAAAAAAUAACCACUACCAUACUCUCACCCUCUAAAACACUACUUAGCAUCAAGGGAAACAAAAUUCUCACCCUCUAAAAUACUACUUAGAUGGUUCAUAGACCCCGUGCCAGAAAGCCCAGGAACUCAGGCAAGAGGAAGCAGAGAGUACAAAAUUCAAGAAGAUCAGUCAGUCAGUGGGUCAGAAGAGAGAAUGGUACUGCAGACUAAUUAGAAGGUACAGAAAUUGUGGCUUCUUUUUUGAAAUUGGUUUAUGCUAAAAUAUCUAGGGAAUUGAAUAUUCAUGCGAGCAUGCGAGAGAGAUGCAAGCUUGCGAGGUGCAGUGUGAUUUGUUAUGUUGGUGAAAAUCAGCUAUCAUGUGUAUUCCUUUCUUCCAUGGUGCCGCUAUCUGUAAACCGAUAAACCUCAACCAUCAUCGAUUUAUUUUUUUGAAGUUGGUUAUUUUCGUAGAUAA